CGGCGGACGGGUGAGUAACGCGUGGGUAACCUGCCUCAUACAGGGGGAUAACAGUUAGAAAUGACUGCUAAUGCCGCAUAAGACCACAGCACUGCAUGGUGCAGUGGUAAAAACUCCGGUGGUAUGAGAUGGACCCGCGUCUGAUUAGUUAGUUGGCGGGGUAACGGCCCACCAAGGCGACGAUCAGUAGCCGGCCUGAGAGGGUGAACGGCCACAUUGGGACUGAGACACGGCCCAAACUCCUACGGAAGGCAGCAG
rnacentral:rRNA from 1 species